rnacentral:snoRNA from 1 species
AGACCAUGAUGUAGGCAUAUUUGAAGCAAGUCUUUGUACCUCUCCCAAGCAUCAUACAAAGAUUCAGAGUCAUAUUGUGUGAAGGAUGUAAUAUUAUUCCUCAUCUU